UACGUAGGGUGCGAGCGUUAAUCGGAAUUACUGGGCGUAAAGGGUGCGCAGGCGGUUUUGUAAGUCAGAUGUGAAAUCCCCGGGCUUAACCUGGGAAUUGCGUUUGAAACUACAAAACUGGAGUGUAGCAGAGGGGGGUGGAAUUCCAUGUGUAGCAGUGAAAUGCGUAGAGAUAUGGAAGAACAUCGAUGGCGAAGGCAAUCCCCUGGGUUAACACUGACGCUCAUGCACGAAAGCGUGGGGAGCAAACAGG
rnacentral:rRNA from 1 species